CCACCUCUCUCGCACAACACACAUUCAACCUAACCCUAAACCUAAAUCGCCGCCGCCGGCGCCCCCGACCCUGCCCGCGGAUUUGCUCGCGUCGCCGCCUCUCCCACCCAGGCAUCCCAUCCCUUGGCCCGUCGUCCUAUGUGCUGCCCCGUCAUCCGCUCCCGAGGAGCUGCUGCCCCGUCUGCAACCAAGGAGCCUCCACCGUUCUGGAGUCAACUGCCUAGGAGCUGGCGAGGAGGCAACUGCAGUUCUGGAGUCGCUCCGUCGUUCUUCUUCCUCCACCAGCGAUCCCUGUCCAGAUCGACACCCUUGUCCUGCCCCGACUCCAGGCCACUGAAGGAGAAAAGAUGGAAGGAAUAAGAGGUGGAAGUGAGCUCCCUGCAUAUGAACAAUCGAGGCUUGCAAGUAUUGCGGAAAACAAAAGGAAGUUGAGAGCCUUGUUGAAAUAAAAAGAAAAUAUUUAGCAUUGGGAGAAAACACGAGGCCCUCUGGGGAAGUAGGCGGCUUGUCCCAGCGACCCAGGAAGAAAUUUUAUUCGGAGUUGUCAUUGCUGCAUGUAGCUGGCGUCAAGUGUUAUGCUCGUAGCUGGCGUCAAGAGUUAUGUUUAUUUUGAAAGUGAUGCAUCCAUUAGUUGGUUUUCUAAUUAAUAGGGAAAAUAGAUUUCUUGCAGGCUGACAAACUUGACCAUGACCUGCAGAAAGACGAAAUAUUUGUGAGAGCACAUACUCGUAAAAUUGGAGCUCCGCACAAGCAGAUACACUAAUUAAAUAACCUGAAGAAGCAGCUGAACCGCCAACAACACUUGCAAUGGAAACUCAAUUUCGUCGACAAGAUGAACAAGUUUCUGCUCUACUAGAGCGCACGGAACAAAUGCAACGACAAAUUGGAGAGAUGCAUCAAGUUCUCUUUUCUCAAGGAAUCAGAAAUGUGGAAACACCAGUAAGGACCUUACUCCUGAUGGCUUACAACAACCUGAUUACUCAUCAGCAAGUUCAGACAUUUUUAUAGGACAAAUGGUAGAUAGUAGCAAGUCCACUAGUUGAUCGAAGAUGUUCUCGUGAUUGCUUUUGUUGAGAACAUGGAUGACACAUCUCCUUCAUAUAGAAGUUGAUUUGGCUUGGUGAUUGAAGAGUUGGUCUUCCGUAAUAUUCUGUAGCAGCAGCAGUCCAGUGAACAAGAACUUGGUCUCUUAUGAACUUUGGCCAUUAUGUUUGUAACAUGCAUGUCUUGUAUAUCUGACUUGUGUGUUUCCAUAAUGGUUGUAGGUGAGUGUAGAAAACCAAUGAAUCUUCUAUAUAUAUUGAAUGAAUGCAUUGAUCAACGAUAUCUUGUGAUGAAUCGAAGAGUGCAAUUGUUUGUAUGUAUUACUUAUUGAACAUGAAUUUAAUAUUAUGAAUGUAAUUUCAUUCAAAAUAUUGUGUA